rnacentral:rRNA from 1 species
ACGCUAGCUACAGGCUUAACACAUGCAAGUCGAGGGGCAUCAGGAAGAAAGCUUGCUUUCUUUGCUGGCGACCGGCGCACGGGUGAGUAACACGUAUCCAACCUGCCCUUUACUCGGGGAUAGCCUUUCGAAAGAAAGAUUAAUACCCGAUAGCAUAAUGAUUCCGCAUGGUUUCAUUAUUAAAGGAUUCCGGUAAAGGAUGGGGAUGCGUUCCAUUAGGUUGUUGGUGAGGUAACGGCCCACCAAGCCUUCGAUGGAUAGGGGUUCUGAGAGGAAGGUCCCCCACAUUGGAACUGAGACACGGUCCAAACUCCUACGGGAGGCAGCAGUGAGGAAUAUUGGUCAAUGGGCGCUAGCCUGAACCAGCCAAGUAGCGUGAAGGAUGAAGGCUCUAUGGGUCGUAAACUUCUUUUAUAUAAGAAUAAAGUGCAGUAUGUAUACUGUUUUGUAUGUAUUAUAUGAAUAAGGAUCGGCUAACUCCGUGCCAGCAGCCGCGGUAAUACGGAGGAUCCGAGCGUUAUCCGGAUUUAUUGGGUUUAAAGGGAGCGUAGGUGGACUGGUAAGUCAGUUGUGAAAGUUUGCGGCUCAACCGUAAAAUUGCAGUUGAUACUGUCAGUCUUGAGUACAGUAGAGGUGGGCGGAAUUCGUGGUGUAGCGGUGAAAUGCUUAGAUAUCACGAAGAACUCCGAUUGCGAAGGCAGCUCACUGGACUGCAACUGACACUGAUGCUCGAAAGUGUGGGUAUCAAACAGGAUUAGAUACCCUGGUAGUCCACACAGUAAACGAUGAAUACUCGCUGUUUGCGAUAUACAGUAAGCGGCCAAGCGAAAGCAUUAAGUAUUCCACCUGGGGAGUACGCCGGCAACGGUGAAACUCAAAGGAAUUGACGGGGGCCCGCACAAGCGGAGGAACAUGUGGUUUAAUUCGAUGAUACGCGAGGAACCUUACCCGGGCUUAAAUUGCAGUGGAAUGAUGUGGAAACAUGUCAGUGAGCAAUCACCGCUGUGAAGGUGCUGCAUGGUUGUCGUCAGCUCGUGCCGUGAGGUGUCGGCUUAAGUGCCAUAACGAGCGCAACCCUUAUCUUUAGUUACUAACAGGUUAUGCUGAGGACUCUAGAGAGACUGCCGUCGUAAGAUGUGAGGAAGGUGGGGAUGACGUCAAAUCAGCACGGCCCUUACGUCCGGGGCUACACACGUGUUACAAUGGGGGGUACAGAAGGCAGCUAGCGGGUGACCGUAUGCUAAUCCCAAAAUCCUCUCUCAGUUCGGAUCGAAGUCUGCAACCCGACUUCGUGAAGCUGGAUUCGCUAGUAAUCGCGCAUCAGCCACGGCGCGGUGAAUACGUUCCCGGGCCUUGUACACACCGCCCGUCAAGCCAUGGGAGCCGGGGGUACCUGAAGUACGUAACCGCAAGGAUCGUCCUAGGGUAAAACUGGUGAC